GACGAACGCUGGCGGCGUGCCUAAUACAUGCAAGUUGAGCGAUGAAGAUUGGUGCUUGCACCAAUUUGAAGAGCAGCGAACGGGUGAGUAACGCGUGGGGAAUCUGCCUUUGAGCGGGGGACAACAUUUGGAAACGAAUGCUAAUACCGCAUAACAACUUUAAACAUAAGUUUUAAGUUUGAAAGAUGCAAUUGCAUCACUCAAAGAUGAUCCCGCGUUGUAUUAGCUAGUUGGUGAGGUAAAGGCUCACCAAGGCGAUGAUACAUAGCCGACCUGAGAGGGUGAUCGGCCACAUUGGGACUGAGACACGGCCCAAACUCCUACGGGAGGCAGCAGUAGGGAAUCUUCGGCAAUGGACGAAAGUCUGACCGAGCAACGCCGCGUGAGUGAAGAAGGGUUUCGGAUCGUAAAACUCUGUUGGUAGAGAAGAACGUUGGUGAGAGUGGAAAGCUCAUCAAGUGACGGUAACUAACCAGAAAGGGACGGCUAACUACGUG
rnacentral:rRNA from 1 species